GCUCCAUAGUGUAGUGGUUAGCAUGUCUGCUUUAUAUGCAGAAGGUCUUGGGUUUGCACCCCAGGUGGGUGCA
rnacentral:tRNA from 1 species